UUUCUUGGAAAUCCCCAACUCUCCCCAUGUUCUGAGCAGGGAGCCCAGGCCCAGGCUGCAAGAAACAGUGUCCCUAAAAUGCAGCUUGUAGCAGCUGUAGGCACCUACAUUAUUUUAUUCUGAGAUGUCAUCCAAAGAGCAGGGUAUCCUUUCUCUAAAUUCAGCCACCAAAAAAGUGCGGCAUUUGUGAAUUCACUCAACUGAAGGCUUGGCUUUCAUCAGCUUGUAAAACCGUCCGAGCUGAUAUGCACCAGAACAUGCCGACUAAAGCCACCGUGAGACUAGAAAUACCCCAUCAUUAAUCACAGACCCUUCUGUCCGCAGGCUUCACCCAUUCCUCUUGUAUAUGGCUCCCAGCCCAGCAGCUCAAACCACUGUAAUUCCAGGUCAGAUGAGUACAGUGUGAAGCUUUCUGCUUGGAUCUUUCUUUCAAAAGC